CGUCUUUUGAGUAAAAAUUUUAUAAAAGAUAUAGCCUGCCCAAUGCGAUAAAUUUAGGUUAAAUGGCCGCGGUAUUUUGACCGUGCGAAGGUAGCAUAAUCAUUAGUCUAUUAAUUGUAGACUGGUAUGAAUGGCUGGAUGGAUAAUAGCUGUUUUUGUGUUAAUAUUGAAUUUUAGGUUUUUGUGAAGACGCUAAAAUGAAGCUAAAAGACGAGAAGACCCUAUUAAGCUUUACAUUACUUUGUUUUAGAAUGGAGGUAAAUAAUUAAUGUUAUGUUGGGGCGACAGGAAAAUAGUAAAACUUUUUCUAAGGGUGAUAUUGAUGAGUAUAAUGAGAAAAAUGAUCCGCAAAUUGCGAGUAUGAGAAUAAGUUACUUUAGGGAUAACAGCGUAAUUUUACUGGAGAGUUCAUAUUGAUAGUAAAGAUUGCGACCUCGAUGUUGAAUUAGGAUACCUUUAGGGUGCAGCUGUCUUAGAAGGUGGUCUGUUCGACCAUUAAAUUCCUACA
rnacentral:rRNA from 1 species